rnacentral:lncRNA from 1 species
CCCCACCCUCUCCUGACAUCCAUUCUGCAGACAUAAAACUAUAAAACAAAACCUUCUGGAACAAAACAUGAGGGAAAUAAUGGAUCCAGGUUAAGCAAUCAGCUAUGAGCAAGAUACCUUUGAGAAGUGUAAAGAAAAACCAGAUCACUGGAUUAUGACUUUAAUCAAAAUGAGACAGAUGAACCACUCAGAACUUCACAGUGUUUCUGCCAUCACCAUCACAUUGUGCCUAAGCAUAUUAUUCUGAGAUCUGCAAAAGAUUUUGAAUGUGUUUGACAUACAGUAACAAACAUCAGGUUGACAGACAUAUGGUAAAAGGCAGGAUAAUGUGAAGGAAAGCACAUUGGUUUCGAAAUUGGAACAGACCUCGAUUUUGCAGUUAACUCCCUGUGGAAACUUGGGCAACUCACUUAUUCUCCCUGAGCAAAAUUAUCUCAUCUACAAAAUGGAGAAAUAAAAAGCAGAGGUUAAAGAAUGUGCUCAAGGUUACUCUGUAAGGAAGUAAUGGAGCCAGAAUGCACGGACCAUCUGGAACCCUGAUACCAUCAGGAACACAAAAAUGGAUGCUAAUCAAAGAAGCCUCUUGAUCUCUUGAUCUUCCUGCUGCCUCAUUUCUUUAUUUAAUAGCAGGUGGACAUCCACCUCAGAGAGGGCUGAGAUACAGGCAGCUGUGGCAGAGCCAUCUGGCAAGAUUCUGCAUGGCCCUCUGUUUCAUGCCCUUAUUUUUAUUUAUUUAUGUUUUCUGAAACAGAGUCUCGCUCUGUCGUCCCAGCUGGAGUGCAGUGGCACUAUCUCAGCUCACUGCAACCUCCAUCUCCCCAGCUCAAACAAUUCUCCUGCCCCAGCCUCCUGAGUAGCUGGGAUUACAGGCAUGUGCCACCACGCCUGGCUAAUUUUUAUAUUUUUUUUAGUAGAGAUGGGGUUUCAUUAUGUUGGCCAGGGUGGUCUCAAACUCCUGACCUCAGGUAAUCCACCUGCCUCGGCCUCCCAAAGUGCUGGGAUUACAGGCAUGAGCCACUGUGCCUGGACUUCAUGCCCUUAUUCUUACUGUAACUUUAAACUGGCCUCUGAAUUUGGACUUGCUUGGACCUCCAAGCUCCUCCUUGUCUUCCCGGCCAAUCCAGCCCUCAGAAUUGCUAGCUGGGUUUGUUCUCCAGUCAUUUCCUAGUUUCCAGAUAUCUAUUCUCAUACUGCUGUGGACUCCAGUCCAGCACUAGGCCACUCCCUCAUAUUCUCUUCCCACUUACAAGGCAGGGUAGAGAACAUGGAAUCUGAAAGUUGAUCUCCUCCCCUGGAAGCUCACAGCAUAACCAGAAAUUCAAAACGCAGAUUUGCGAAACAACAGAUCACAAUACCAAGACAGCUUGUAAACAUUGAGAAUGUGUGAAGAUUGAACAAAGAAGCAGAGAGUUCAAAGGAAUUCAACAUAAAUCUAGGCUAUUUUCUAGGAGCCUGGUGACAGCUGAGCUUUCCUCUUACUGACAAGUCCAGAGCAAUGCAACCUCCCCAGUGGCCAGAGUUUUGACUUUCAAUACAGAUUAGCUAACUACCGACCAAUGAACAAGCCCAUAUGCUUUUAGCAGGUAGUAUGCAAAAGAAGCCCACAGGGCUUCUUUAUUUAUUUAGCUGGAUAAUGCGUCUCCCUAGGAUCUGUGCAGGGAGGAUAGCUACUUCUGAGGAUGCAAUGACAUGGCUUUUAGCUCAAACCUUGACAUGCCACCCCUCCCUCAUUCCUUUUCUUACCCCACAAUCAUUACCUUAAAAAGAAUUUUCACUUUAGAAAGUGACCUUGCUGGGCUGAAGCUUGAAGUUUUAAAAGCCCCCUAAGGUUUCAUUUUGAAAAGUCAUCAUGGACUUUAGAUUGACUUUCUCUUGAAGGCAGCUUAAACCUUGUUCAUUUGGGAGCACAAAAGAGAAGGUUUAGGAAUCCCAAGGCUUUAAUUGCCAGCUGUCUUAUUUCUCUGUUCACAUUUUUUUUCUUCUCUCCAGGAAGACUAAGAUGAGUGAAAUAAUUUCUUUCUUUUUAGUUAUCAUUGUAACAUUCAGGUUUUCCAUUACUGUCAAUUUCUUGAAACUUGUCUCAUUAGCAUUUUCAGAAGAGUUUAAAAAAACCUUUCAUCAAGGAAAAAAACGUGCAUGAUAUCUAAAUGCAAGUAAGUUGUCACGGGAUUUCAUUGACAUAAAUUUGUCCUCUCUUGUCUUCAUUUCUGCUUUCUCAGUUCCUCUUUUGAUAUCUUACAGCAAGCUUGUCCAACGCAGCCCAGAAUGGCUUUGAAUGAGGCCCAACAAAAAUUCACAAACUUUCUUAAGAACAUUAUGAGAUUGCUUUUUGGGAUUUUUUUUUUUUUAAGCUCCAUCAGCUAUCGUUAGUGUUAAUGUAUUUUAAUGUAUUUUAUGUGUGGCCCAAGACAAUUCUUCUUCCAAUGUGGCUCAGGGAAGCCAAAAGAUUGGACACCUCUGUUUAGAGCCUAGGAACCAUACCCAUGGCUCUUUACAGACUUGGAAAUAAGUGCCCUAGAUUAACAAAUAAAGCAUCUUAGAAGCAAGGUGUAAAGACGGACUGUGGGGCUUUUAUACCCCCUAAAACUUCUAAGAACAAAGAAAGAAAUGCCAAAAAGCCCAAUAGAAGCAACAAUAUAAAUAACAAAAUAACAUUCUAGAGGAAAUCAACCCAUGACUACAGGGUUUUCUGCAAGCUUCACAUAUUUUGUGUGUUUUUAAAAGAAGGAGAGCUGGGUUAGUGAGCAAACCUAAGGAGUCCUUAUUGCCAAUACAACUAGCAGGUAAGAGCUCCCUGGUGUUACACCUCAGUGAUGGAGAUUAAUCAACUCUUUAUUUCUCCUAACCCAAAAGUGCUUUUGUAAAUGCACAUGGAUUAGCACUAAGGAGCUAAUUAUCUUAUAAGCUGAGAUCACUUUUCCAAAGAGACAAACUCUCCCAGGAUCUAGAGCAGCAGCCUCUUUUAUAGCAUUUCCUGGAAAUGGAGACAUUGACUUGGAAGUUGCAUCAGCAAAUUGAGCAUGCAUUCUCCUGUGGGAACAUUGCAAGUUAGGAAAUGUGGGUCUCGUAUGUGGCCACAGAGAGAGAAGACAUGCAGACUGAAUGGUUUUCAAGCCAAAAAUGCAGAAUUGGCAAAAUCUAGAGUUGCUCACUCCUUAUCUCCUAGGUGAUGUUUUCUUCCAGCUCCAUUUGUUAGAAAUUGUGUAGUACCCACAGGACAUAGAAAGUAUUGUUUUAAGAGAGCCAGCAUUUUUGAAACAGGAAAGGUUCCCUUGUCCCCCUUGCAGGGCAUGCAAUGGGGGUGUGGCUCACUUCUUCAGUGCCCCGCUGCUCAAACCUCUAGGGGAGCAUACAGAUGGGCAGGCUGUGGGGCUCCAAUCCCACGGCAGUGUCUCGGGGUGAAAGUUUACAGGUGAAGCCCCAGUGGGCAUGUAUUAUAAGAUGCUCUUUUAGUUUGUCGUCUAUAGGCGGCUUGUAUUAACCAGCUCAGUUAGACCCUCUACCUUGUCACAAGGACAGAAGGUUUUCUGUAUCCCGGGUUCUUGCCUUGGUGUACUGGAAGAAUCGGAUCACAUGUGGGCUUGGAGAAUGAGUGCAAAGUUUUAUUAAGUGGAAGUAGCUCUUAGCCAAUGGGGGAGCCAGAAGGGAGAUGGUUUUCCCCUGGAUUUGGGCCACUCAGCAGCCCCGGCUCGCCUCGGACUGCCCUGGCCGAACUCUUCCUCAUCCUGCCAGCUGAUGGCCUGUCAGUGGGCCAGCCUCUGUCAGUGUGUUCUUCUGCUCACUAGCUUCUCUCGACGUCCUCUCGACGACCACUUGUUUCUUCUUCCACAGAUGUGUUCCUCUGGACAUCUGGCCUCCUGUGUGAGUGCUUGCUAGGGUUUCAUGUUUUUAUAGGCCCAGGAUGCGGAUGUGGCCCACCAGGGUGAUCUUGGGAAAUACAACAUUUGGGCAGGAAAUUCCUGUCCUCACCUAGGCCCGUAGGGGUGGAACCCUAGCCAGGGGCCCGCCUUUCUCUACCCAGCACUUCCCUUCCCCCUCUUCCUUAUUAUUUAAAGGGACCAUGCUCUUCCCUUCCCAGUACUCUCGUAUCAUUUUGACUGGAAAUUUCUGCUCUACCACUCUACUGCAAGAGAGAAGGUAGAACCUAGAGUACGAGUUGCUCACAAUCUGAGAUGAGCAGCUUCCUAGGCAGGGCUUUCUAAAUGUGGUGAAAACAGACAUUGAAGAGGGCACCUGGUUUUAAGCCUCUGUCAUUUCACAUACCCUUUAUUUACAAACUCUACUUUUUGUAUGCCCAUUGAAGUUUUACCUUGUUUUGUGAAAGAAAUUAUUUUGUCUAAUGAGGUUUAAAAAAUCCAUCUUCUGCAAUCCAUCAUAGGCUUCUAAAUUUUUUCCCCUAAUUCAAAAAAUAUUCAUUGACUACUUGCUAUGCUCCAGGCAUAGUUCUAGACACUGAGGAAUCAUUCAUGAACAAAAUUAACCAAAUCUCUGCCUUCAGGGAGUUUCCAGGCAAGGACAAAUUACAAAACAAAUAAAUUAUUAAGUUAUUUGAUGUAUUAGAAGGUGAUAAACAUUAUGGGAAUAAAUGAAUCCUAAAAGGAGGUUAGAGAGUUGAGGAAGGGGAAGGUUUCAUUUCAAAUGGGGUGAACAAGACAGUUUCACUAUAAUGAUGACAUUUGAAGAAGGAGAGGGAAUGAGACAUGUGGCUACCUGGGGAAGGUGGGGUGCGGGGCAGUGCGGGAAAUGAUCUAAGCAGAGGGAAAAGUACAAGCAAGCACCCUGAGAAGAGUUCAUGCCUGUAGAACAAUGCAUGAGGGGGAGAUGCAUAAGGGGUCACAUUGAACUUGGUAGCUCACUGUGAAGGUUUUGACUUUUUAUGUGAAGUAGGAUGGGACUCCUUGGAGAGUUUUCAUCAGAAGAGUAACAUGAUCUGACUUAAUAUUUUUAAAAGAGCUUCUGGCUCUAAUGUUAAAGCUAGACGCUAAGACGAUAGAGGUCAAAACAUGAUUUUGUAUUUUUCUGGCAAUUAAGAUAAAAUACAUUAGGUAAAAUAAAUUGGGUGGGCAGGCAUGCAGGGUUACAUCUAUAUAAUCUGUCUUCAAAUGCUUGUCUUGACUUCCCAGAUGCAAAUCUUUUUAUAAAGUCACCCUUCCCUCUUAAAUUUCCCAGAGUUUGAACCUGGAUCAUUCUUUAUCAGAAUAAUAUAGUUGUACUUUUUAUUGCUCUUGAAAAAUUAAAAGAGCCUAUAACCUUAAGGCCUUUUUCUUAAUGCAGAAAAGUAGAAGUUUUAACUAGUUUCUCUAAAUGCCUAAGAAUAUAAGAAGCAUUUUGAGACAGCUAAUGACCUGUAUAAGAUAAGAUAUCUUAAGUGUUCUGGCACAGAUAUUCCUAAGAACCCAAUUUGCUAACAAAUACAGCAGUGGCCAUAAUUCUAUAAAUGGGAAUAGUGGUAGGGAACCUAGUGGUCACCAUCCCAUUUUACAGAUGGAGAAGCAGCCCAAGCUCACACAACUAAGAAGUGGCAGAGUUGAACUUCAACUCUGCUCUGUCUAGCUAAAAGCCUUUCACCAGUGGUUUCUGGCUAGAGUAUUCUGCAGCUUCUUUUGUAGGAAGCUUAUUUUAAAGCAUGUCAAGAAUCUAAAUUAGCUUCUUAUUCCACAUUCUACACUUCCUUAGGAAACAAACUUUUAUUUCUCCCUUUAAAUAAAAAAAGCAAAACAAAAAGACAAGGGGUAUCAUUGGCCAUCAUAAUGGGGAGAGAAGUUGGAGACAGAAAGGCUAAAAUCAAUCAAGCUGAGAGGCCUGAAAACUAAUGCCUGUCCCAUGGUCCCCUCUUAAAUUGUCUAGUCACAGCACAGGACAGGCACCACAUGCCAAGUAACAUUACCCAAAGAUGAACCAAACCUGAAAAGGCAGCUGACUUUGCCUUCCCCAGUGCUAAAACUUGUUAAAGGAAUUUACUAAGUCUCAGAGGGUGUGAACUGAAAUAAUCUCCUUCAUCCUGAACUGAAAGAAGUGAUAAAAACCAAGAGACAGCCAAUGGCCUGGGUAGGGAGCAGUUGGCUUUCAGAAAAUAAAUUGAACACGUACAGACAACUCACACUUCCAACAAUUCCCCUCUGAAGAUGCAGGUGUCCUUCUGGGUAAAGUCCAUCAAACCUGACCUUUAAAAAAACAGAAUGAUUGGCUAAUUAUCAUCAACUGUUUUUUAAAUCAAUCUGUCAGAAUUCAAAUAGAGCAAUUUUCAGGGUAUUCUAAAAACUGAAUUUAAAUAAAAAAUAGCAAUUAUUUCAGAAUGACGGUAGGAGUCAUGGUGGCCCUUGCAGUACCUGUUGCAACCUUGUGUGGGAAUCAUUCCUGAGCCUGACUUUCCCGCUUGGGACACAGAGAAUGCAAGACCAGGCAGGCAGCUGCUGAUUUGGUACCAGUCACUUCAGGAAAUCAAAGAAAGCUGGAAAGUUGUUGGGAGCUAGUUUUGCUGGAGAGCUCUCAGAAAGAGGCGCCCAUCAUGACUGCCCUGGGGUUUGCUUGAGAAGUAACCAGACUCCCAGAGCAGGGGGAAAAGAGGCACCUGACCUGAAAAUAAAGAUUUGAGGCUCUGAGGAACAGUUUCAGGUGCUGUAGAAGGGAGCAGCAGGUUCUAGGGGAACCAAAGGGUUCAGAGAAGCAACCUCCUCUUCCUGCUACUGCCACAAAGACUCACCUUCAAGGGAAUGUCUUGCACUGCCUGAACAUAAAAAUUACUCUAAGUAGGAAAAAGUGUGUUUAUUCUCUGAAAAAAGAAAAUUCACAAUAUUGAGUGCUCAGAUUUCUCCCUCUCAGGCUGUCAUCUAUAUGCACAAAGUGUUUUGACUUUACAGUUAAAAGAAAAUCCCAAGGGUAAAAUAGUUUUUACUUUUUUAAGACACGUGUUUUCUAUUUUUUUCUCUUUUCUUGUGUUAAAGUUGGAAAUGAGUUACGAAAAAAAGAAGUACUUGUUUAUUUCCAGAUGGAGUGGGUUAAAGAGAGAAAGGGAGGAGCUCACCAGGAUUGAUAUGGGGACACUGGGUAGCCUCCGGACACCUCCAGAAGAAGGGAUUAUUGAGAAAGUAUAUUAUAUAUUUAAAAACAUUUUCUUAAACACCAUGGGGGAAGGGGAUGAGGUUGGGGAAUACGUUUUUACUUCUAAACAACCAUGUAUUCCAGAGUUGUCAAAUAAACAUUAUUUUUAUUUCA